rnacentral:lncRNA from 1 species
CAUAUAUAUAUACACACACACACACACACACACACACACACACACACAUAUAUAUAUAUAUAUGUAUACAUGCAUGUAUAUGUUUAUGUAUUUGUACGUAUCAUAUAUGUAUAUAUAUAUAUAUAUAUAUUAUAAAAUGGAGCAACCGCAUUGGGUUGUCUUCGGUUGACACGUGGAUAAAAAUUAUUUUGUCAUGUGGAGUGAAACCGCGUGGAGUGGGACCGUGGG